CGAUGAUGCCCAGCUUGCUGGGCGGAUUAGUGGCGAACGGGUGAGUAAUACGUGAGUAACCUGCCCUUGACUCUGGGAUAAGCCUGGGAAACUGGGUCUAAUACUGGAUACUACCUCUUGCCGCAUGGUGGGUGGUGGAAAGGGUUUUACUGGUUUUGGAUGGGCUCACGGCCUAUCAGCUUGUUGGUGGGGUAAUGGCUCACCAAGGCGACGACGGGUAGCCGGCCUGAGAGGGUGACCGGCCACACUGGGACUGAGACACGGCCCAGACUCCUACGGGAGGCAGCAGUGGGGAAUAUUGCACAAUGGGCGGAAGCCUGAUGCAGCGACGCCGCGUGAGGGAUGACGGCCUUCGGGUUGUAAACCUCUUUCAGUAGGGAAGAAGCGAGAGUGACGGUACCUGCAGAAGAAGCGCCGGCUAACUACGUGCCAGCAGCCGCGGUAAUACGUAGGGCGCAAGCGUUGUCCGGAAUUAUUGGGCGUAAAGAGCUCGUAGGCGGUUUGUCGCGUCUGCUGUGAAAGCCCGGGGCUCAACCCCGGGUCUGCAGUGGGUACGGGCAGACUAGAGUGCAGUAGGGGAGACUGGAAUUCCUGGUGUAGCGGUGAAAUGCGCAGAUAUCAGGAGGAACACCGAUGGCGAAGGCAGGUCUCUGGGCUGUUACUGACGCUGAGGAGCGAAAGCAUGGGGAGCGAACAGGAUUAGAUACCCUGGUAGUCCAUGCCGUAAACGUUGGGCACUAGGUGUGGGGGACAUUCCACGUUUUCCGCGCCGUAGCUAACGCAUUAAGUGCCCCGCCUGGGGAGUAC
rnacentral:rRNA from 1 species